GCCACAUGAUGUCACUGUAGAUUCUUUGAGCACUCUGCAGAGAUGACACACAUCUACCACCCAAGACUGAUGGCU